rnacentral:lncRNA from 1 species
UUGAUGACGUUUUAGGAAAUUGACCAACCAUAUUUAAUUUAAUGCAUUAUGUUUACUAUUUUAAAUGCCAAAUUAAUUGUGUAGAGCCAUUUUAAUUGACUUUGUAAGUUUGACAUGUGUUUAGGGGCCUUGGUCAAGGUUGAUUUGACUUUGUUAGGUUAAGAUCAUUGAAUUUAGGGGAUUGAUAGAAUGUACAUUCCAUCUCCCAAAAUGAAUGAAUGAUCUUAACUUGGUAAAAGUCCUCCUUUG